GACGAACGCUGGCGGCGUGCCUAACACAUGCAAGUCGAACGGAGUUAAGUGCUUCGGUAUUUAACUUAGUGGCGAACGGGUGAGUAACGCGUGAGAAACCUGCCUUUCAGUGGGGGACAACAGUUGGAAACGACUGCUAAUACCGCAUGAUACUUUUUGGGGGCAUCCCUGAAAAGUCAAAGCUUUAUGUGCUGAAAGAUGGUCUCGCGUCUGAUUAGCUAGUUGGUGAGGUAACGGCCCACCAAGGCGACGAUCAGUAGCCGGACUGAGAGGUUGACCGGCCACAUUGGGACUGAGAUACGGCCCAG
rnacentral:rRNA from 1 species